GGUUACCAUGGAAACCAUCAAUGCAUCUUUGAGUCUCAGUGAGGAAAAGACACCAGAUUACCUGGCAGGUUAAAGUUUGUCAACUCAGAAAAACGGAGGAACUCUCAGAUGGAGGGACAUGUAGAAGAAAAGAUGACCGCCGCGAUGAGCUCAUCAGAGACGUCCACAAAACCAGCAGGACCCCGUGGGGAGGGUGAGGAGAGCUUCACCGGGGAGCAGGUGGAUCCACGUCAGGGUCCCGACGCUGUGGAGGAACCACCCUGCGGCGCCGCGACCUCCUCAGAAGAUG